AAUCAACGCUGGCGGCGCGCUUAACACAUGCAAGUCGAACGAGAAGCCCGAGCAAUCGGGUGAGUACAGUGGCGUACGGUGAGUAACACGUGGAUGAUCUACCUCUUAGUGGGGAAUAACUCUGGGAAACCGGAGCUAAUACCGCAUAAGCCUGGAAAGGGAAAGCGUCGUUUCAAAAAUAGCACGCUGAGAGAGGAGUCCGCGGCCGAUUAGCUAGUUGGCAGGGU
rnacentral:rRNA from 1 species